rnacentral:rRNA from 1 species
AUACGGAGGGUGCAAGCGUUAUUCGGAAUUUACUGGGCGUAAAGCGCGUGUAGGCGGUCCUGCAAGUCUGAUGUGAAAGCCCCGGGCUUAACCCGGGAAGUGCAUUGGAAACUGCAGGUCUUGAGUACUGGAGAGGAUGGGGGAAUUCCCGGUGUAGAGGUGAAAUUCGUAGAGAUCGGGAGGAAUAUCAGUGGCGAAGGCGCCCAUCUGGACGGUAACUGACGCUGAGACGCGAAAGCGUGGGGAGC